rnacentral:rRNA from 1 species
GGCCAGACUCCUACGGGAGGCAGCAGUGGGGAAUAUUGCACAAUGGGGGAAACCCUGAUGCAGCGACGCCGCGUGAGUGAAGAAGUAUUUCGGUACGUAAAGCUCUAUCAGCAGGGAAGAAAAUGACGGUACCUGACUAAGAAGCCCCGGCUAACUACGUGCCAGCAGCCGCGGUAAUACGUAGGGGGCGAGCGUUAUCCGGAUUUACUGGGUGUAAAGGGAGCGUAGACGGUUCUGCAAGUCUGAAGUGAAAGGCCGUGGCUUAACCGCGGAACGGCUUUGGAAACUGUGGAACUGGAGUGCUGGAGAGGCAAGCGGAAUUCCUAGUGUAGCGGUGAAAUGCGUAGAUAUUAGGAGGAACACCAGUGGCGAAGGCGGCUUGCUGGACAGUAACUGACGUUGAGGCUCGAAAGCGUGGGGAGCAAACAGGAUUAGAUACCCCCGUAAA